rnacentral:rRNA from 1 species
UACGAAGGGUGCAAGCGUUAAUCGGAAUUACUGGGCGUAAAGGGUGCGUAGGCGGUUCGUUAAGUCUGUCGUGAAAUCCCCGGGCUCAACCUGGGAAUGGCGAUGGAUACUGGCGAGCUAGAGUGUGUCAGAGGAUGGUGGAAUUCCCGGUGUAGCGGUGAAAUGCGUAGAGAUCGGGAGGAACAUCAGUGGCGAAGGCGGCCAUCUGGGACAACACUGACGCUGAAGCACGAAAGCGUGGGAAGCAAACAGG